GAUGAACGCUGGCGGCGUGCCUAAUACAUGCAAGUCGAGCGAACAGACGAGGAGCUUGCUCCUCUGACGUUAGCGGCGGACGGGUGAGUAACACGUGGAUAACCUACCUAUAAGACUGGGAUAACUUCGGGAAACCGGAGCUAAUACCGGAUAAUAUAUUGAACCGCAUGGUUCAAUAGUGAAAGACGGCUUUGCUGUCACUUAUAGAUGGAUCCGCGCCGCAUUAGCUAGUUGGUAAGGUAACGGCUUACCAAGGCAACGAUGCGUAGCCGAUCUGAGAGGGUGAACGGCCACACUGGAACUGAGACACGGUCCAGACUCCUACGGGAGGCAGCAGUAGGGAAUCUUCCGCAAUGGGCGAAAGCCUGACGGAGCAACGCCGCGUGAGUGAUGAAGGUCUUCGGAUCGUAAAGCUCUGUUAUUAGGGAAGAACAAAUGUGUAAGUAACUAUGCACGUCUUGACGGUACCUAAUCAGAAAGCCACGGCUAACUACGUG
rnacentral:rRNA from 1 species